AGGACGAACGCUGGCGGCGUGCUUAACACAUGCAAGUCGAGCGGAAAGGCCCUUCGGGGUACUCGAGCGGCGAACGGGUGAGUAACACGUGAGCAACCUGCCCCUGGCUCUGGGAUAGCCUUCGGAAACGGGGAUUAAUACCGGAUAUUCACUGCUUCCUGCAUGGGGGGUGGUGGAAAGGAUUCCGGCUAAGGAUGGGCUCGCGGCCUAUCAGCUAGUUGGUGGAGUAACGGCCCACCAAGGCGACGACGGGUA
rnacentral:rRNA from 1 species